AACUACUCCAGUGGCCUUGUGGUUAGGGUGUCCACCUUAGAUGCGGUAGGUCUUGGGUUGGAACCCCAGCUGAGUCA